rnacentral:lncRNA from 10 species
CAAAGGCUGGCUGGGGUGAGAAGAGAGAGAGGUUUCUUGAUCCCUGUUGCUCUUUCUGUAGAGAAUUUCUUUCUCUGCCUCUCCUCCUGGCCUUGCUUGCAUCUAUCAACAGAUUCUGUUUAUGCCUUAACUUUGUUGAAGGCAGCCAGGCUGGCAGAAUGCUUUCCCUCAUUGGAAUGUGUCACCAUGCAGAGGAUAAAAGCAAUCGAUGGCCCUUCCUGGCCCCCACCCCUCCUCCUGCCCUUAUAAAUACUUUUAUUUGCAUUCUGUCACUGUGGUUGUGGCUUAUCCCUUUGCAUUCACCCUUUCUAGUUGAAAGUCAUUAAUCUGCAAAUGCAACUAAUUAGCCCUUCACUGUUACAGGAGCAGAGAACCUUGCUUGCUCAUCGUCCUAGUUUAUUGGAUGCCAGAAAAUGUACACUUAAGGAUCAAUGGAUCUUGCCGAUAGAAAGAGUGCACUGUAUAAUUACACAAUUGUCCCUGGAAAAAAAAGAAAAGAAAAGAAAACCAAACAAAACACAACUGACUACAUGCUUCCAGAGGAAAUUCCUGAUUCCCUUAAAGGAAAAUCAUUUUUCUACAGAGGCAAAUGUGUUAAAGCAAGUGAGAAUCAGGGCACCACUGGGAAGCUGAAUUAGCUAAGCAGUUUAACCUAAUAACAACAUCCUCCCUAGCCACGAACACAGUAUCCAGUUGUGCUGUGGGUGUAUGUAUGUCUUUGUGUGUGACUGCUAGUGUGUACAUGAACGCAGAACGGUCUUUCGCCAAAGGGAAAUGGAAAGUUGAAAAGUACCAGCAAGAAAGAUGUGGAAAGUAUUACAUCCACAGGACCAGAAAGUCCAGGGCGAGAAAAAUAUGUCUGGCAAUAUUUGGAGAAGUGGCUUAUUCCUGGUAAGCUUAGGGAAGGGAGCUAGGUAAUUUGGGUAAUUGAAUCCUGCAGAGAAGGAAGUAGGUUUUAAAGAGGAUUGUUGCCAUCACCAGCAAAAAGUGCCUAUGAUUUCAUGUCAUCAGUAGAAACUCUGCACAGGUUUAUGUAAUGGAUCUGCAGCUCUGUCUACCAGCUAUUGUAAGCUGGGUACUUUUUGGUCCUGUGCUGAGAGAUGGGAUUUAAGAUGUUGAUGCAGCACCAGGAGCUUCCUAUCUUUAUCUUUGCCUGGUGGUUAAGUAGUUCUUUGCACAAAUGGGAAUGGGCGUUGAAAUAAACAAGUGGAACUGUUUUUUUCUCUUCCUCAGAAUAGUAACUAUAUUUUAAGAAUAGCUAAAAAAGUUGGCUUUCCUUGAAUAAUAUCCCUUUGAAUAAUUUUUUUUACCAUUCUUUUUUUUUGCUCAUCCUCACCUCUACUUUAAAAUUCAGAGUUAUAAAACAAUGAUAAUAGACUUAAAUUUAUUUAGAUCCCACUGACACCUAAUUAGUAUUAUGUAACCUUACUAAUUUUCAGAGAGGUAUUGUCACAACAGGAUGAUAAAGAAUAAGCCCCCUUUGU